ensembl:lncRNA
GUUUUACACAGUAAUAAUAUAUAUCUGCCUCACUCUCAGAGAAAUCAGUAGUACUGCUAGGUUUUACACAGUAAUAAUAUAUAUCUGCCUCACUCUCAGAGGAAUCAGUAGUACUGCUAGGUUUUACACAGUAAUAAUAUAUAUCUGCCUCACUCUCAGUGAAAUCAGUAGUACUGCUAGGUUUUACACAGUAAUAAUAUAUAUCUGCCUCACUCUCAGAGAAAUCAGUAGUACUGCUAGGUUUUACACAGUAAUAAUAUAUAUCUGCCUCACUCUCAGAGGAAUCAGUAGUACUGCUAGGUUUAAUACAGUAAUAAUAUAUAUCUGCCUCACUCUCAGAGGAAUCAGUAGUACUGCUAGGUUUUACACAGUAAUAAUAUAUAUCUGCCUCACUCUCAGAGGAAUCAGUAGUACUGCUAGGUUUUAUACAGUAAUAAUAUAUAUCUGCCUCACUCUCAGAGGAAUCAGUAGUACUGCUAGGUUUUACACAGUAAUAAUAUAUAUCUGCCUCACUCUCAGAGAAAUCAGUAGUACUGCUAGGUUUUACACAGUAAUAAUAUAUAUCUGCCUCACUC